rnacentral:lncRNA from 1 species
GUAUGUAUUUUUGUGGGUGUUUUUCGAAGACAAGGUUGUGAUUGAACGGAGUAAAUAAUGUCUGACCUUGUUGUAAAUUAGUAAUAGUACGCGUUGCUCUGGAAUGGUUUUGAUCGGUUAGUAUGUGACUUUUUUCGUUUGGUGGAAUCUUCUUAUUUUGUACGAUACUUGUCCAUGGAUAACAAAGUUACUCUGUCUCCCGGAUUGGCCGUCUGUAAGAAUCUUAGCUGCCUGCCUUGUACAUUAACGUAACUAGAUAGGAAACUUUUCA